rnacentral:lncRNA from 1 species
CAUGACAUCCAUUAGCCAUAAUUCUAUCAGCUAGUAAAGCCUUGACUUUCCACAUACUUGGUCCAAGUUUUUGUCAUACACAAUACUUCAUACCACAAAACCAGUCCAAUAUCAACCUAACAAGUUGUAACCAAUUAAUUUUUGAAACACCAAUAACAAGGUCAGUUCAAUCAAGCCAAAACAUCCUACAGUUAACAUAUCAGUUAACCCUCA